rnacentral:piRNA from 1 species
UAGGUAUAUAAAGAAACUAGAUGUGCUC